UUGCACUAGGUUGCGAAAGAAUAAAACGUCCCUGCACUUUCUGUCUGUCUUUGUGGCGGGUCCAGAUUGAAUGAGGGAUUACAUAG
rnacentral:snoRNA from 1 species